UACAGAGGGGGCAAGCGUUAUUCGGAAUUAUUGGGCGUAAAGGGCGCGUAGGCGGCCGAGCAAGUCUUGGGUGAAAUCCCUCGGCUCAACCGAGGAACUGCCUUGGAAACUGCUCGGCUUGAGGCCGGGAGAGGAUGGUGGAAGUCCCAGUGUAGCGGUGAAAUGCGUAGAUAUUGGGAGGAACACCAGUGGCGAAGGCGGCCAUCUGGACCGGUCCUGACGCUGAGGCGCGAAAGCGUGGGGAGCAAACAGG
rnacentral:rRNA from 1 species